UCCGAAAUGGUGUAAUGGUUAACAUCGCCGUCUCUCAUCAAACGAAACCACGGCAGCUCGGGGUUCGAUUCCCCGUUUCGGAG